rnacentral:rRNA from 1 species
AUACGUAGGGGGCGAGCGUUGUCCGGAAUGAUUGGGCGUAAAGGGCGCGUAGGCGGCCCGGUAAGUCUGGAGUGAAAGUCCUGUUUUUAAGAUGGGAAUUGCUUUGGAUACUGUCGGGCUUGAGUGCAGGAGAGGUAAGUGGAAUUCCCAGUGUAGCGGUGAAAUGCGUAGAGAUUGGGAGGAACACCAGUGGCGAAGGCGACUUACUGGACUGUAACUGACGCUGAGGCGCGAAAGUGUGGGGAGCAAACAGGAUUAGAUACCCUGGUAGUCCGCACUGUAAACGAUGAAUGCUAGGUGUAGGGGGUAUCGACCCCUUCUGUGCCGCAGUCAACACAAGAAGCAUUCCGCCUGGGGAGUACGGUCGCAAGGUUGAAACUCAAAGGAAUUGACGGGG